UACGUAGGGCGCAAGCGUUGUCCGGAAUUAUUGGGCGUAAAGAGCUCGUAGGCGGUUUGUCGCGUCUGCUGUGAAAACCUAAGGCUCAACCUUGGGCUUGCAGUGGGUACGGGCAGACUAGAGUGCGGUAGGGGUGACUGGAAUUCCUGGUGUAGCGGUGGAAUGCGCAGAUAUCAGGAGGAACACCGAUGGCGAAAGGCAGGU
rnacentral:rRNA from 1 species